GAUGAAGAACGUAGUGAAAUGCGAUAAGUAAUGUGAAUUGCAGAAUUCAGUGAAUCAUCGAAUCUUUGAACGCACCUUGCGCUCCUUGGUAUUCCGAGGAGCAUGCCUGUUUGAGUGUCAUUAAAUUCUCAACCUCACCAACUUUGUUGUGUGAAGGCUUGGAUGUGGGGGUUGCAGGUCCGCACUCGUGUGGUCUGCUCCUCUAAAACGUAUUAGCGGGUUAGUCCCCUAAUCUAUUGGUGUGAUAAUUAUCUACGACGUGGAUUUGGAAGGCUAUCAUAGACCUGCUUCUAACCGUCCUCUGGACAACUUUGACAAUUUUGACCUCAAAUCAGGUAAGACUACCCGCUGAACUUAAGCAUAUCAAUAAGCGGAGGA
rnacentral:misc_RNA from 1 species